AGAGUUUGAUCCUGGCUCAGGACGAACGCUGGCGGCGCGCCUCAUACAUGCAAGUCGAGCGUGAAGCGGGACUUCGGUCCCGUGGAAAGCGGCGAACGGGUGCGUAACACGUGAGCAACCUGCCCCAAAGACUGGGAUAACCCGGGGAAACCCGGGCUAAUACCGGAUGUCCUCCUCCGAUCGCAUGGUGGGAAGAGGAAAUGUUCAGGCGCUUUGGGAUGGGCUCGCGGUCUAUCAGCUUGUUGGUGGGGUAACGGCCUACCAAGGCGACGACGGAUAGCUGGUCUGAGAGGACGAUCAGCCACACUGGGACUGAGACACGGCCCAGACUCCUACGGGAGGCAGCAGUAGGGAAUCUUGCGCAAUGAGGGAAACCUUUGACGCGGCGACGCCGCGUGCGGGAUGAAGGCCUUCGGGUUGUAAACCGCUUUUCAGCAGGGACGAAAUUGACGGUACCUGCAGAAGAAGGCCCGGCCAACUACGUGCCAGCAGCCGCGGUA
rnacentral:rRNA from 1 species